AAGAUAGCAUCACGUUACGUGAGUUAUACUUUUCGGUUUUAUAUUUUGAAUGGAUGGAUUGUCAGCUGCUUGGAUCUUUUUAGACCGAGACAGAAAG
rfam:Dialister sp. CAG:357 genomic scaffold, scf192